rnacentral:Y_RNA from 1 species
GGCUGAUCCGAGUGCAGUGGUGUUUACAACUAAUUGAUCACAGCCAGUUACAGAUGUCUUUGCUCCUUCUCCACUCCCACUGCUUCACUUAACUACAGAA